rnacentral:rRNA from 1 species
GACGAACGCUGGCGGCGUGCUUAACACAUGCAAGUCGAACGAUGAGCUCGUGCCUUGCUGCGCUGGUUUAGUGGCGAACGGGUGAGUAACACGUGAGUAAUCUGCCCCUGCCUCUGGGAUAACUUCGGGAAACUGUAGCUAAUACCGGAUAUGAGCUGUCGACGCCUGUUGGUCGGUGGUAAAUUUUUGCGGUCAGGGAUGUGCUCGCGGCCUAUCAGCUUGUUGGUGAGGUAGUGGCUUACCAAGGCUACGACGGGUAGCCGGCCUGAGAGGGUGACCGGCCACAUUGGGACUGAGAUACGGCCCAGACUCCUACGGGAGGCAGCAGUGGGGAAUAUUGCACAAUGGGCGGAAGCCUGAGGCAGCAACGCCGCGUGCGGGAUGACGGCCUUCGGGUUGUAAACCUCUUUCAGCAGUGACGAAGCGUAAGUGACGGUAACUGCAGAAAAAGCACCGGCUAACUACGUG